rnacentral:lncRNA from 1 species
AUGAGUGAUAAUUCCUACCAAAAAAAUAUAAUAUGAUGAGAAAUAAAUAACAUAAAAAUACACAUUUAAAAUCUAUAGAUCUAAAACUUACAUUUCUUAAAGGAGAAGAUGAAAACCAUGAAUCAUAAUAUCUAAAAUGACAAGAUAAUAUUGUGAGAAAGACUUGAGAAAAUUUUAGAGAGAAAGAAGAUAAUGAGAGAGUUUUAGAAACAAUUGAGAGAAUUUUAGAGAGAAGAGAGAGAGUUUUAGAGAGAAGGGAGAGAGUCUUAAAAACUUUAGCAGCCACUUUAGAGAGAGACUGUAUAAAUUUUGUUUAUGUAGGGAGACAAAAAUGUAACUAGAUUAAAAUUUACGAUACUGUAGACUUCGUUUGAAGUCUACUAAAAUUAAAAUUUUGGAGUAGAUUUUACUAUAACAUAGUAGACCUUUUUGGAAGUCUACUAUGAUAAUUUAAUUAUUGUUGUUUAUUCUUUAUUAUUUAAUAAUUUUAAUAUGUGAUUUAUUAAAUUCAUUUCUUUAUUUUUUUAAUAGUUAUAGUAUAUGAUUUCACUUUUUUAUUCAUAAGGAACUUAACUUAGUUUAAAUAUAAUGAUUUUUUGUAAAACAAAUUGAAAAAUAUAGACUGAAAAAGACGUCUUCAGAUAAAUAGAUUUUAUUGUAGGUCUACGAAACCCUAAACCACAAAUCUCAAAUCCUAAAUGUUUUGCUUGAUAAUCAAAAAGUCUCAUUUAUACAAAAUAUAAACUACUAAACAUUAAUAUGCAGAUUUAAGUUAAUAAAACAAAAAAAAAAACAAAAUCUAAAAUCUAACCCUAUGAAAUCAACUACUAAAAGACAUAACAUGUUAGAAUUUUUUGUUUCUAAACAAUGAAUAUAGUCUAACACAUGAUAACCAAAUUAGUAUAUAUUCUUCAAAAUUGUUCGAUUAUAUGAAAUUUUAAUUUAUUU